rnacentral:misc_RNA from 1 species
GAUGAAGAACGUAGCGAAAUGCGAUACGUAAUGUGAAUUGCAGAAUUCAGUGAAUCAUCGAAUCUUUGAACGCAUAUUGCGCUCUUUGGUAUUCCGAAGAGCAUGCUUGUUUGAGUAUCAGUAAACACCUCAACCUCUUCUUGAUUUUUCAAAAGGAGGGUGGACUUGAGCUAUCCCAACAACCUUUACCGGUCGGCGGGCGGCUUGAAAUGCAGGUGCAGCUGGACUUUUAUCUGAGCUAAAAGCAUAUCUAUUUAGUCCUCGUCAAACAGGAUUAUUACUUUUGCUGCAGCUAACAUAAAGGAUAAUUGUCCUCUUUGCUGACUGAUGCAGGAUUUUACGACACUUUAUGUGUUGUUCAACUCGAUCUCAAAUCAAGUAAGACUACCCGCUGAACUUAAGCAUAUCAAAAGCGGAGGA